CAGUAGCCACGGUAAUACAGAGGGUGCGAGCGUUAAUCGGAUUUACUGGGCGUAAAGCGUGCGUAGGCGGCUUCUUAAGUCGGAUGUGAAAUCCUUGAGCUUAACUUAGGAAUUGCAUUCGAUACUGGGAAGCUAGAGUAUGGGAGAGGAUGGUAGAAUUCCAGGUGUAGCGGUGAAAUGCGUAGAGAUCUGGAGGAAUACCGAUGGCGAAGGCAGCCAUCUGGCCUAAUACUGACGCUGAGGUACGAAAGCAUGGGGAGCAAACAGGAUUAGAUACCCCUGUAGUCCCUGUCUCUUAUAC
rnacentral:rRNA from 1 species